rnacentral:rRNA from 1 species
CCUACGGGUGGCUGCAGUGAGGAAUAUUGGUCAAUGGACGAGAGUCUGAACCAGCCAAGUAGCGUGAAGGAUGACUGCCCUAUGGGUUGUAAACUUCUUUUAUAUGGGAAUAAACUGUUCCACGUGUGGGCUUUUGUAUGUACCAUAUGAAUAAGGAUCGGCUAACUCCGUGCCAGCAGCCGCGGUAAUACGGAGGAUCCGAGCGUUAUCCGGAUUUAUUGGGUUUAAAGGGAGCGUAGGUGGAUUGUUAAGUCAGUUGUGAAAGUUUGCGGCUCAACCGUAAAAUUGCAGUUGAAACUGGUAGUCUUGAGUACAGUAGAGGUGGGCGGAAUGCGUGGUGUAGCGGUGAAAUGCUUAGAUAUCACGAAGAACUCCGAUUGCGAAGGCAGCUCACUGGACUGUAACUGACACUGAGGCUCGAAAGUGUGGGUAUCAAACAGGAUUAGAUACCCUAGUAGUC